rnacentral:tRNA from 3 species
GGGCCGGUAACUCAGCUGGCAGAGUACUGGCCUUUUAAGCCAGGAGUCGCAGGUUCGAAUCCUGCCCGGCCCA